UACGAAGGGGGCUAGCGUUGCUCGGAAUCACUGGGCGUAAAGCGCACGUAGGCGGACUCUUAAGUCGGUGGUGAAAUCCUGGAGCUCAACUCCAGAACUGCCUUCGAUACUGGCGAUCUCGAGUUCGGGAGAGGUGAGUGGAACUCCGAGUGUAGAGGUGAAAUUCGUAGAUAUUCGGAAGAACACCAGUGGCGAAGGCGGCUCACUGGCCCGGUACUGACGCUGAGAUACGAAAGCGUGGGGAGCCAAACAGGG
rnacentral:rRNA from 1 species